rnacentral:rRNA from 1 species
GUCUGAGUACUAUAUAAUAGUUAAAACUUUCAACAACGGAUCUCUUGGUUCUGGCAUCGAUGAAGAACGCAGCGAAAUGCGAUAAGUAAUGUGAAUUGCAGAAUUCAGUGAAUCAUCGAAUCUUUGAACGCACAUUGCGCCCCUUGGUAUUCCGAGGGGCAUGCCUGUUCGAGCGUCAUUAUAACCACUCAAGCCCUCGGCUUGGUCUUGGGGUUCGCGGUUUCACGGCCCUUAAAAUCAGUGGCGGGGCCGUCUGGCUCUAACCGUAGUAAUCCUCUCGCUAUAGGGUCCAGGUAACCACCUGUCAGAACCCCCAUUCUUUAUGGUUGACCUCGGAUCAGGUAGGGAUACCCGCUGAACUUAAGCAUAUA